CCAGGUGCGCCAGAUGUGCUUUUUGCGGUUAUGAUGGGGAGGGCGCCUGGGAGGGGGAUGGCUGUCCUGGGAUUGUUGGUCCUGUGUGGUGCUAAGGUGUGGCCUAAUGGCUAAGGUGGCAACGUAGCGGUAGAGAAGUAGUAAUUAUAACGACUGCACCGCAAACGCCGUCGGAACAGCAGUCGGGUUAGGUCUAUGAAGGAUCAUAGGAGAUGGAGGACUAGGCCCUCACGGGGCCCGGCGGCAAGCACUGGCGCAACCCCACCCAAACGCGUUGGGGCCUCGCAGCAUCCCAGCAACAUGCCAGGACUUUAUAGGAAAGUUAGGAUUUGCCGCGUUGCGGUGCGUCAGCACGGAGAAGUGGUGCUCAAAUCGUCCGAACCAUGACGAGAAGGAAUGUCC
rnacentral:lncRNA from 1 species